UACGUAGGUGGCAAGCGUUGUCCGGAAUUAUUGGGCGUAAAGCGCGCGCAGGUGGUUUCUUAAGUCUGAUGUGAAAGCCCACGGCUCAACCGUGGAGGGUCAUUGGAAACUGGGGAACUUGAGUGCAGAAGAGGAAAGUGGAAUUCCAAGUGUAGCGGUGAAAUGCGUAGAGAUUUGGAGGAACACCAGUGGCGAAGGCGACUUUCUGGUCUGUAACUGACACUGAGGCGCGAAAGCGUGGUGAGCGAACAGG
rnacentral:rRNA from 1 species